GGGAGCGACUUGGCUUCGACAGGAGUAAGUCUGCUUAGAUGGCAUGUCGCUUUUGGGCAAAGCGUAAAAAGCCCAAAUAAAAUUAAACGCAAACAACGUUAAAUUCGCUCCUGCUUACGCUAAAGCUGCGUAAGUUCAGUUGAGCCUGAAAUUUAAGUCAUACUAUCUAGCUUAAUUUUCGGUCAUUUUUGAUAGUGUAGCCUUGCGUUUGACAAGCGUUGAGGUGAAAUAAAGUCUUAGCCUUGCUUUUGAGUUUUGGAAGAUGAGCGAAGUAGGGUGAAGUAGUCAUCUUUGCUAAGCAUGUAGAGGUCUUUGUGGAAUUAUUUUUGGACAGGGGUUCGAUUCCCCUCGCUUCCACCA
rnacentral:tmRNA from 2 species